GACAGAGGGUGCAAACGUUGCUCGGAAUUACUGGGCGUAAAGCGCGUGUAGGUGGAUUGGUGUGUCAGAUGUGAAAUCCCUGGGCUCAACCCAGGAACUGCACCUGAAACUACCAGUCUUGAGUGGUGGAGAGGGAAGUGGAAUUCCAGGUGUAGCGGUGAAAUGCGUAGAUAUCUGGAGGAACACCGGUGGCGAAGGCGGCAUCCUGGACCGGCAUUGACGCUGAGGCGCGAAAGCGUGGGGAGCAAACAGG
rnacentral:rRNA from 1 species